CAGUAGCCGCGGUAAUACGUAGGGUGCGAGCGUUAAUCGGAAUUUCUGGGCGUAAAGCGUGCGCAGGCGGUUGUGUAAGACAGGUGUGAAAUCCCCGGGCUUAACCUGGGAACUGCGCUUGUGACUGCACAGCUAGAGUAUGGCAGAGGGGGGUGGAAUUCCACGUGUAGCAGUGAAAUGCGUAGAGAUGUGGAGGAACACCGAUGGCGAAGGCAGCCCCCUGGGCCAAUACUGACGCUCAUGCACGAAAGCGUGGGGAGCAAACAGGAUUAGAUACCCCCGUAGUCCCUGUCUCUUAUAC
rnacentral:rRNA from 1 species